ACAGCUAAGACUUUGCUUAAGUCUCAGAAGAGACUCUGAAGUUGGACUUUUCAGCAAUUCUGGAACUUAGAACUUUGACAACUCUUACAGAUGGACUGAAUGCAUUUUGCACAAAGGCAACUUCCAUAUUCCCCACCAGGUGUGUAUCACAUGUGCUGUACAGUGUGGGAUGGUUUUCCUGAAGGUGGUCUCCAGAGUGGAGCUGAGCAUCUGGAAAGGUCUAUCUCAAGGGAUACCUCUGCAAAUUUGAAGUCUGUAAGAGUCACCUCCUUCUCAGCAUUGGCAGACUGAUGCUGUUCUCCCUCCUGUGAGCCUAACCUGUGCACCUGCUUCUCUCUACUACCAGAUCAUCUGCUUCCUCUGGCCAAGGCUAAUCCCACACCCUUUACUCUAGGGCAGCAUGGUAAGGAGCCUCCUGAAAAGAGGCUGCUGAAUACACAUUUCUUAACUCAACCAAGUGUAUACUAUCCACUUGAACCACACUCUUAAUUUUUAACCCCUUUUCUUAAAAAUGAAAUUCCAGAGCUGUGUUUGGGAGCAUGCACCCAUAGCCUCAACGAUACAGGAGGCUAAUGGGAGGAUCACUUGACCCUGGAGUUUGAGACCAGCCUGAGCAACAUAGCAAGACUGCAUCAAAAUCAAUAUAGAAGUGAAGUAAAAGUUCAAAGAAAUAUGGCAUCAUUGUUUGUUUAUCAUAUAC